rnacentral:lncRNA from 1 species
AUUUCUUAAAUACAACGCAAAAAGCAUAAUCCAUAACAGGAGAAAUUUGAUAAAUUGGACUUCAUCAAAAUAAAAAACUUCUGUUCUUUGAAAGAUGCUUAAAAGAAUGAAAAGGGGCCGACCCGGUGGCACAGCAGUUGAGUUUGCACAUUCCACUUCGGCAGCCUGGAGUUUGGAUCCUGGGUACGGACGUGGCACUGCUUGUCAAGCCUUGCUGCGGCAGGUUUCCCACAUCUGCUCUGACAUCUGCGGUUCCAUGAGUCUAAGGAUGAACGGAGAGGGCCAGCAAACAGUGACGGCAGAGGGUUAAGCAGGUCAGAUUUCCAGUCCAAACCCUGGGGCGAAGCCUGAGCCACUUUAAAUCCCCUUCAUCUGUCCCUGUGUGUUUGCACAGUAAAGAACCUGUCAUUCUUAGAGUACCGACGGAGCCGGAGCCAGGGAGCUGGGAGAUGCAAAUAUUGACGCUGGCCCCUGGGUCCUCGCUGCAGGCCGUGGCAUGAAAUCUCCCGCUCUGCUGAUGUGAAGCGGGGGAGGGGCCCGGCUGGCCACCCGGGCUCUGCGUCUCUUUGGACCGGCUUAAGGAGUGCUGUUUGGGCGGUUGCUAUGGCAUCCGCUUCUUUCUGAAAGGAAGAACCCAUAACCAAGACAAGAACAAACACUGUCCUCCUGCCAGCCCAGCCACCUCCUCCCGAUUACAGCCUGCCGCCCCCGGGCCUGCGCUCCAGCUUUCUCUUCUGGGAGUCCUGGCUGAGAAAGAGUGAGACGUCAUGGAGGGACUAUGGAGGGCUCUGCAUUUGGGCCUCUCAAGGAUCGAUCCUGGAUCCGCCCUUCAAAAGCUUGAUCUCAGGGAAGCAACUUCCUGUCUCUCUGUCUCUGUGAAGUGCACGUAACCAAACUGGGUAGGACUGGGCGCGAGGAUUAGAGAAAAUGAGACGCAAGAGACAAGACAUACACCAGUUUGUGACGGUGCUUGGCAUGUACCGAAGGCUCACUGAGUAUUGCCUGUGAAUGUUCGCCAAGGCCCUACACCAUGCGUGGCACCCCCCUUUCUUCUGCUGGAAGCUUCACUGUUUCCAAAUGGCGUUCUCAGUCCGGAUCUCACUUUUUCCUCUCACGCCUGCAAAAUAGUCUGGCCACGACGCCCUUAUUCUUGAUGUACAGAGGAGAGCCUUCUGUGCAGCCCCUCAGAAGGAGGAAGCCAAUGUGUUCCUCCUGCUAAAACCUCUGCCAGCACCCUGCAGCGUCAGAAUCCAGUUCGCUCCCUGCCACCCAGAAUCCACGCUGGGGCUCACACUCCAGCCCCAGGGACGGCUCUGCGCCCCUGCAGCUCUUCAGCCUGGACGGCCCUGUCCUGCUUCCCACCUGCUCCUUCGUGGCCCUGCUCACGCGUCACCGCCGCUGGAAGCUUCCUAGAUGUCCUGAAACGUUGCAUAGAACAGCGAACUACCCUGGCUGAGUGCCCCCCACCAGUCACGCGCCCGUCAGCGAGCUGCCUGGCCUCUCUGAGCCUGGUGCAAAAACAACAACCCCCUCAGAGCAUUGUUUUGAGAAUAAGAGGGAAAGCUCUCACCUUGCGCAGUGCCUGGUUGGUAGUAAGCGCUCGACAAGUGCUGACUGUGUGCACGCAGACAUCUGGCCUUUAGUCCUUGCCCAGCGCCUGACACACUGGGGGGACUUGGACAAGUCUGUCUCAGCCUCGUUUCUCCAUCCUGUAAAAUGAAGCGUCUUAACCCCCAGGGGCCCGCAGACGGGCUUGUUGGGAGGGAGUGUAAAAU